AUGAGCACCAAGCAGGUCACCUGCAGGUAUUUUAUGCAUGGCGUAUGUCGUGAAGGCAGCCAGUGCCUGUUCUCACAUGACUUGUCGAACAGCAAGCCAUCCACCAUCUGCAAAUACUACCAGAAGGGCUACUGCGCCUACGGAGCACGCUGCAGAUAUGAUCAUACAAAGCCCCCAGCUGCAGCAGGUGGAGCUGUGGGUCCUGCGCCCCACCCUUCACCCUCCUCAGACCUGCAUAGUCCUCGCCCUUCUCCCAACAUUGCCAUAUCUGUUAUGAGGACACAUUCAAAUGAACCUGGAAAGCGGGAGAAGACGACGCUGGUGCUCAGAGACUGCAAUCUCACUGGUCUGGCUGAAGACAAGACGCCUCCAAGCACAGUGAAUAAUCCAGGUGGCUGCAGUGACCCUCAGACCAGCCCAGAGAUGAAGCCCCAUUCCUACCUAGAUGCCAUCAGGACUGGCCUGGAUGACUUGGAGGCCAGUAGCUCCUACAGCAAUGAGCAGCAGUUUUGCCCCAUGCUGCUGCUGGGGAGUGUCGGUUUGGAGAUGCCUGUGUCUACCUACAUGGGGACAUGUGUGAGAUCUGCAGGCUUCAAGUCCUUCACCCAUUUGACCCAGAACAAAGAAAAGCUCACGAGAUGUGUAUGUCGACAUCUGAACAUGAGAUGGAAAAGGCUUUUGCCUUCCAGGUGAGCCAGGACAAAGUGUGCAGCAUCUGCAUGGAGGUGAUCCUGGAGAAAGCGUCUGCUUCUGAGAGGAGGUUUGGCAUUCUCUCCAACUGCAGCCACACCUACUGCCUGUCCUGCAUCCGGCAAUGGAGAUGUGCCAAGCAGUUUGAAAACCCAAUCAUAAAGUCUUGUCCAGAGUGCCGGGUGAUAUCAGAGUUUGUAAUUCUAAGUGUGUAUUGGGUAGAAGAUCAGAAUAAAAAGAAUGAAUUAAUUGAAGCUUUCAAACAGGGAAUGGGGAAAAGGGCAUGUAAAUACUUUGAACAAGGCAAGGGGACCUGCCCUUUUGGAAGCAAGUGCCUUUACCGCCACUCUUACCCCGAUGGGCGGCUGGCAGAGCCAGAGAAACCUCGGGAGCAGCUAAGUUCUGAAGGCACUGUGAGUUUCUUUAACUCAGAGCGGCUUUGGGAUUUUUUCGAGAACCGAGAAACCCGGCAAGUCCCCAGCACUGAUGAUGUGGAUGUGACAGAGCUAGGAGACCUCUUCAUGCACCUUUCUGGAGUAGAGUCAUCAGAACCCUAGUCAAUUCUGAUGCCUUCAUUUAGGCUCUGCAGUCAACUUUCCAAGGCAUGAUGUGAAACGCAUCUGUCACUGACCUGAGGUGACAUGGUACUGGGAUGUGAGUGCAGUAGUGAGUCCCCAUGGUCUCUUCAUGAUCCACUCUCCCUGCCCAAGUCCAUGGAAUCACUACAUUUAGAGUUGAGCUCUUAGUUGUACCUGCAGCCCCUUUAUCAGGGAUCAGCUAUGUGGUCCAGCUGUUUUAAUUGAUUGCUUUUAAAUGAAACCUGACUACCAUCUUGCUUUUGUCACUUUCUUCCUUAAGCAACAGUAAACUUGCAGCUGCUCAUAAAG